AUCUAGCUGACGAGUCCAAAACAGGAUGAAACACAUCCUAUAU
rfam:Schistosoma curassoni strain Dakar, Senegal genome assembly, scaffold: SCTD_scaffold0006359